AUAACAAUUAUUAAGAAACUGAUCAUGUUACAAGAUUAGGUGUACAAAUUACAAAUAAAUCAUAAUAUAACAUCAUAGCUAAUAAAUAAAACAAUGGUGUUUAUCACAUUUUUACUUAAAAUAAUUAAGAUAAAACCAUAUUUUUUUACAUACAAAUAUUUACAAGCAACUAUACAAAAAAAAAUGUUCAUAAGAAAAAGUAAGAACUGACAUUUAAUAAAUAUUAUAUUUUAUUAAAUUUCUUAUAAGUGUGUGCAGUCUUUUUUUGGUGACGUCCCAAAUGUCUAAGGCAAUAAAGAUAUCCUUGGACUCCAUAAUAGGAAUAUUUUUAACAACAGAAAAUAUUUAAGUUGUAAUUAAAUUAUACAAUUUGAGAAAAUAGGAUUUGUCAUAAUAUGUUUAGAUGUCUAGGGGCAUCAGUGUCUAUUAUUAUUUAUAUAUAUACACAAUAGUAUAUUAUAUUAAUAUAAGAAAAUGUAAUCUCUAUUUCCAAUAAAAAAAAAGUUGAUCAAUUUGUAUUUAAUCAAUUAGUUCAAAUAUACUAUAUCUGAUUAUUUUUGAAUUUUUGAAAAUAGUUUUAUUUAAUUAUUAAACAACAUAGAAUUUUUCAUUACAGGUUUUGUAAUUUUUAAAAUAUUAGUUUAUUUAUUCUUUCUUCUCAUUAGUUCAAACUUUGUGUAGAAAUACUUUUGUAAUAAGAGAAUUAUGAAACAUGCUGUUUAAGGAGGAGGUUUGUUUGUUUUAUUAGUAAUGUUUUGUAUAUAAUUAUUCUAAAAAAUAGUAGGUUAUAAUAAAAAUGACUAAUGCCCCACCCCACCACCCUAGAAAUAUUUGUCUAGUUACAGUACUGAGAUGAAUCACCAUAUAAAAAUACAUAUACUAAUAUAAUUUAAAGAUAAUUUAUGUAUAAACAUAUUGUCAUAUUAUUAAGACUCACUUAACCUAAAACAAUUUUACUUAGAGGUUGGGUUAACAAAUAUUUUAAAAUUCUUAAUUCUUAAUAAAAUCUAAUUUUUAAAUGUAAAUAUAUUGAUAUUAUAAUAUACAGCCUGUCUCAUGAAGAUAUACCUUUUGAAUAUCUUUGGAGAUAAUAAAGAUAAUCAAAUUCUGUUUUAAUAAAAAAAAAAUUUAAUUUAAAUAUAAAUAUUUGUAGUCCUUAUCUCUGCGAGUAAAAAAAAUAAAAAUAAAAUUUGAUUAUCUUUAUUAUUUCUGGAGAUAUUCAAGGGGUACAAAUAUUUUUGUGGAACGGCCUGUUUUAUUUUAAACUUGAUACCUCAUAACAAUUAUUUAGUGGAAGCAUGGUUACAUGGAAAACUUAAAUCUUCCUCAAGUAUCAUUUCACAUAUACACAAUACAACAAAAAUUAUUUUUUUUAGGAAGAUGUGAGGUACUAAAAAAUUGUUAAUCAAUUUAUUAAAUGUAAAACCUUAUGGUGUAUGUAUUAAAAAUUAAUUUAAAUAAAUUUAAAUCAUAUUUUUGUCUGACAAGUAGUUACAUUAUAUUAUUAAACAAAUACCUACUUAUAAAUAAGAGAUAGAAAAAUACUACACUUUUGACCACUCCUCUCUGUGCACUAAGUGGUCUUCUGAAAAGGGAGUUUAAAAAUGAAGAAAUUUGAUUACUGUUGUCAAAGUUAUUUAAAAGAAAAAUAGGAAUAUUUGUGUUUAAGAAAAUGUAAGUUUAACCAUCAAAAAAUUAAAAUAAGUUAAUUUGAAAAUAACCUCAAAAUGUAUACUCCCAAUUUUCUUAAAAAAAAAUAAAAACAAAGCUGGGCAAGGUAACCAUUUUUUUUAAAACUAGUUUAAGUAAAAUUUAAAGUUAAAUUUAAAAUAUAAAUGUUUUAUAAUUUAUAUAUAAUAUAUAAUAAUAUAAAUUUGAGUAACUAAAUUAAGUUAUACAUUCUCAGGUAAAUAAUAACUUUUUUUUUUAAUUCCCCUGAACUACACUCAUAAAUGUAUUUAUGCAAAACUUUUCUGGGUAUACCUUAUAUUUAUACUUAUUAUGUUAUAAUAAUAUUCACAUAAAAAUAUGUAAUUUUCACCAGAAUACAAAUGCAAAAAGUAUAGGUAAACAGUUUUUUAUACAAACAAUUUAUAAAUAACUUAAAUUUUAACAAAAUAACUAAUUCAGUUAAAAUUAUUUAUAAUAAGACUAAGUUGAUUUUUAACUAGUUAAGUUAAAAGUUAUUAAAAAAGUAAUACAACUUUUUAAAUAGUUACUACUUAGCUUUGAAAAAAACUAGUUUCAAUCUAAGUAUUCUAUGUUGUCAAACAGUACUUCUGAAAUAAAUUAAUUUUUAGUAUAAAGAAUAAUUAUAAAAUAUAGAUGUAGUUCUGGAUCAGGAAUAACAUAAAGACUAAUCCCCGAAAAACACCACUAAGGGCUGACAAAGGCUUAUUGGAAUUUUCAGUACAAAAAUUUAAUUGUUUUUGUUGAUGGGUUACCUUAGUCACACAGAUGAAACAAAAACAUUGGCAUUGAACAAUGUUCAAUAUUUGAAAAAAAAAAUAUAUAUAUUCAUUAAUAAUCACUGUUGUGUUUUGUAAGACAUUAAUCAAAAAUAGUUUUAAAAUAUACCUAUACUUCUAAACAAAUUGCAGCACUAAGAACCUAACUUCAAGAAAAUAUCUAUCACUUUUGAAAAUGAUGGCAGAUGUAAACUUGAAACAAUCGUUCCUAUCCAGAAAAUAGUGAUAAAAAUCAAGCAAAGAAUGAAAAUCAAACUCAAGUCUCACAUAUACCGUGCUCUAUAAAUUGAGCUACCUGACAUUUAAAUUUUAACAUUAUUCUCACUAGAUCUGAGAGGUUGGUAGAGAGUCAUGUGUAUGAUCAACCAUUGAGUAGGCAUGAAAGGCUAUAAUAAUAAUUUGAAAAUAAUACAUUUCAUGAAAUUUCCCGGUUUUCCCCAUUAUGAAAAAUCUUGGGAAAAUCAAAAAAAUAAUUCCCUCAAAGUACCACCUAAGUUGGAUUUUCUUUCAGAAAAAAUACUACUUUUUAAAAUCUGAGCAAGAUUUCUGAUAGUUGUUCAGAUAAAAAAACAUAUAACCAAUAUAUUCUUCACUUCGCUCAGAAUCUAAAAUCAAAAAAAAAAUAUGUAUAUAUAUAUAUGCUCAUUACUAAAAAUUAUGUUACAAAAGUAAAAAAAAAACUUCAACUUUAAAAUUGUGGGGGUCAACUAAACCCACAACCGCUUGCGUGGGUUAAAGAGAAUGAUGCAGCAAAAUAAAUGUUACAUAAAUUAUCUAACAAUACUUAUGAAAUAAAUUUAUUUUUAGUAUAAUAAAUAAUAAUUCUUAAAAUCAUUAAUUUUAAUUAACAAUAUUAUAUAUUUUGUAAAUAUUAUGACUUGAUAUUUAU
rnacentral:lncRNA from 1 species